CAGAGAUCAGUGGCUAUCACAUGACAAGUAGCCCCUGGGAAACACAGCUGUACACUCAGGAAAGUUCUGAAGGUUAAGCAUCAUUCUGAUUUCAUCUCCAUGGAUGCUACUCGGUGCAGGAUGGUCGCUCACACGCAGAAGAGGAGUGCGGAACCGAACAUGUUUUCAAUGUCCCUUCUCCAUGCCCAGGGAAGCUGAUGUAUGAGGGAUAGCACCUGAUGCUCUUGGCAUCUGGCAUCUGUGGUUGAGCUCAGGUGCAGUCUUUUCUCAUAUGUGUAAUUUAGGGGAAAGGAUGUGACUGUAAAAG
rnacentral:lncRNA from 1 species